GUCUUUGGCCAUACCACUCCGAACAUGCCUGAUCUUGUCUGCUCUCAGAAGCCAAGCAGGUUUUUGAUGGAAGAAAAAUAUCAUAAAGUCGUCAAAGGUC
rnacentral:rRNA from 1 species